UACGUAGGGGGCAAGCGUUGUCCGGAAUUAUUGGGCGUAAAGAGCUCGUAGGCGGUUUCGUAAGUCGGAUGUGAAAACUCAGGGCUCAACCCGGAGACGCCAUCCGAUACUGCGAUGACUGGAGUCUGGUAGGGGAUCACGGAAUACCUGGUGUAGCGGUGAAAUGCGCAGAUAUCAGGUGGAACACCGAUGGCGAAGGCAGUGAUCUGGGCCAGUACUGACGCUGAGGAGCGAAAGCGUGGGGAGCAAACAGG
rnacentral:rRNA from 1 species